GAGUUCGAUCCUGGCUCAGGAUGAAUGCUGGCGGCAUACUUAACACAUGCAAGUCGGACGGGAAGUGGUGUUUCCAGUGGCGGACGGGUGAGGAACGCAUAAAAACCUGCCCUUGGGAGGGGAACAACAACUGGAAACGGCUGCUAAUACCCCGUAGGCUGAGGAGCAAAAAGGAAUCCGCCCGAGGAGGGGCUCCCGUCUAAUUAGCUAGUUGGUGAGGCAAUAGUUUACCAAGGCGAUGAUCAGUAGCAGGUCCGAGAGGAUGAUCAGCCACACAGGGACUGAGACAUGGCCCAGACUCCUAUGGGAGGCAGCAGUGGGGAAUUUUCCGCAAUGGGCGAAAGCCUAACAGAGCAAUGCCGCGUAGAGGUAGAAGGCCUACGGGUCGUGAACUUCUUUUCCCUGAGAAGAAGUAAUGACAGUAUCUGGGGAAUAAGCAUCUGCUAACUUUAUGCUAGCAGCCGCGGUAAUAUAGAGGAUGCAAGCGUUAUCCAGAAUGAUUGGGCGUAAAGCAUCUGUAGGUGGCUUUUUAAGUCCGCCGUCAAAUCCCAGGGCUCAACCCUGGACAGGUGGUGGAAACUACCAAGCUGGAGUAUGGUAGGGGCAGAGGGAAUUUCUGGUGGAGUGGUGAAAUGCGUAGAGAUCGAAAAGAACACCAACGGUGAAAGCACUCUGUUGGGCCGACACUGACACUAAGAGACGAAAGCUAGGGGAGCAAAUGGGAUUAGAUACCCCAGUAGUCCUAGCCGUAAACGAUGGAUACUAGGAGCUGUGCAUAUCGACCCGUGCAAUGCUGUAGCUAACACGUUAAGUAUCUCGCC
rnacentral:ncRNA from 1 species